rnacentral:rRNA from 1 species
AGUGGCGAACGGGUGAGUAACACGUGAGUAACCUGCCCUUGACUCUGGGAUAAGCCUGGGAAACUGGGUCUAAUACCGGAUAUGACCGUCUGACGCAUGUCAGGUGGUGGAAAGCUUUUGUGGUUUUGGAUGGACUCGCGGCCUAUCAGCUUGUUGGUGGGGUAAUGGCCUACCAAGGCGACGACGGGUAGCCGGCCUGAGAGGGUGACCGGCCACACUGGGACUGAGACACGGCCCAGACUCCUACGGGAGGCAGCAGUGGGGAAUAUUGCACAAUGGGCGCAAGCCUGAUGCAGCGACCCCGCGUGAGGGAUGACGGCCUUCGGGUUGUAAACCUCUUUCGUAGGGAAGAAGCGAAAGUGACGGUCCUGCAGAAGAACGCCGGCUAACUACGUGCCAGCAGCCGCGGUAAUACGUAGGGCGCAAGCGUUAUCCGGAAUUUUGGGCGUAAGAGCUCUAGGCGGUUUGCGCGUCUGCUGUGAAAGACCGGGGC